GCUCCCUUCAGCAGCACUCAAUGAAAUGGUAACACUACGUACGGAGAAGAUCAGCAUGGCCUUUGUGCAAGGGUGAUAUGCAACUUCAUAAAGCACUCCAUGUUCUU